rnacentral:rRNA from 1 species
GUUCGGUCCCUAUCUACCGUGGGCGCUGGAAAUUUGAGAGGAUCUGCUCCUAGUACGAGAGGACCAGAGUGGACGAACCUCUGGUGUACCGGUUGUGACGCCAGUCGCAUCGCCGGGUAGCUAUGUUCGGAAGGGAUAACCGCUGAAAGCAUCUAAGCGGGAAGCCUACCUCAAGAUAAGAUUUCCCUAGGAAUUUAUUCCUCUAAAGAGCCGUUCGAGACUAGGACGUUGAUAGGUUGGAUGUGGAAGCAUAGUGAUAUGUGAAGCUGACCAAUACUAAUUGCUCGUGAGGCUUGACUAUACAACACCCAAGCAGUUG